AGAGUUUGAUCAUGGCUCAGAUUGAACGCUGGCGGCAUGCUUUACACAUGCAAGUCGAACGGCAGCACAGGGAGCUUGCUCCCGGGUGGCGAGUGGCGCACGGGUGAGUAAUACAUCGGAACGUGUCCUGUUGUGGGGGAUAACUGCUCGAAAGGGUGGCUAAUACCGCAUGAGACCUGAGGGUGAAAGCGGGGAUCGCAAGACCUCGCGCAAUUGGAGCGGCCGAUGCCCGAUUAGCUAGUUGGUGAGGUAAAGGCUCACCAAGGCGACGAUCGGUAGCUGGUCUGAGAGGACGACCAGCCACACCUGGGGACUGAGACACGGCCCCAGACUCCUACGGGAGGCA
rnacentral:rRNA from 1 species